AGGAGGAACAACCACGGUGGCUGCGGCAGCUAGGAAACCUGGAUUCAUCCCCCACAGGAACUCUGAAGCACUCCCCCUGCAGGGCCUGGAGGCUCCGGGGGGCG
rnacentral:pre_miRNA from 1 species